rnacentral:ncRNA from 1 species
UUUGGUAGAGGUUGCACCGGUUAUCAGUACUCCUUAUGACAUGACAGACAUGGAAGAAGAAGGAAGAAAGGAAGCGGUGCCGAAGCGGACAGAACCGUCUGUAGUCUGGCCGGCUGGGCGUAUGGUGAAUAAUCAUGCGACUGUCAUCUGAGGAUGGAGAGCUACUUGAA